rnacentral:lncRNA from 1 species
GGGGAAAAUGGCCUAAUGGUGGUGCAGAGGGAGAACAUUAAGGGAAAUCAUGCAGCGCAUGUGGGAAAGCAGCUGUUGAGGCAAGGGUAUAAGCCACCUUGUAUGUGAUCCUGUGAUCAUUACUCAGGCAAAACUCUCAGUGAAGCCAACUGAAGUUUAAUCUGAAUAAACACAGUGGUAUUAGUCUCACCCUGUGUAGAUUGUAUAUAGCUGUAGGACUUGGUGGUGUGUAAGUGACUUUGUUGGCCUUUUUUAGCUAGAGCAUUCUAAAUAUCCACUUUUGUUACUAACAUGUGAAAAGCCCAGAAUGAUAUUGUACCUGCCAACAUCCUGCAACAAAAAAGCAGUAGAUUGUUCAUUUGCUUAAUUGUUCAUAUAUUUGCAUAAAAUCAGGCAGAACCCAUUAUAAGAAUGAGCAUGCCCAUUUUAAAGUUAUACUAUAAUAAGGUGCCAGUGUGGGGAGAUAACUGCAUGCAUUUUGGGGGUAUCUAGAUUGCUUAUCCUAGGUGCCAUACAUGCGAGUUGAGGAAAUAAAUACAUUUCCAACAAUAUUUCUAUUCCCCUUUUCAUGAUGACAAGUCUUAAGAGGCCAAUUUCAAACUUGAAUAGGAUGAAAUAGGAAAUCUGACAAACAUGGAUAUUAAAAAUAGAAAAAGGAAAAUGUUUUCUUAGAGUAAAUGCCUUGUCAGAGUCUCUGGUGAAUCUGGAUUUGGAUAAUCUACAUCAUGAGAGAAGCAAGGGGAACAGAAGAUUACUUUUAAAUAUUUUAGAGCCAGAGCUAUGGUUCUGCACAUGCAAAAACCACUCUCAGCUUUCAAAUAAUAGCUACCUCUCUUCCCCACUGAGCCAAGAACCAACUAAAGCAGUAGACUGGUCAGGUUUCCCCCUAGAUCAGAAAGAAGGGCUGACAGGUAGUACUCUACCUAAAGUACCUAAUCUUUGUUUUCACACAGUCCCCAUCAGUGCAGAAUCUGAAGGCCCAGGAAAAGCAGCAGAUCUGGCAGGUCUAAUCAUUCUCCAGACACUUGGCUAAAACAGCAAUCAGUGGCAUGCCGACAACUCGGGCCAAGAGUGUUUCUUCUGGGUCUGAGUAUUGUGGGGAUCUUUCAUGCGUGAAUCUCACCCCUCCUGCAUGGGGGACGAAUGGGGGAGGAGGUCAUGCACUGUCAUAUCAACUUCUCUCUUCAUUUCUUGGACCCCAGUUAAGAUUCUUUGCA